rnacentral:rRNA from 1 species
AAGACCUUGCGCUUUUGGGGCGGCCGAUGUCUGAUUAGCUUGUUGGUGAGGUAAAAGCUUACCAAGGCUUCGAUCAGUAGCUGGUCUGAGAGGACGGCCAGCCACACUGGGACUGAGACACGGCCCAGACUCCUACGGGAGGCAGCAGUGGGGAAUUUUGGACAAUGGGGGCAACCCUGAUCCAGCCAUGCCGCGUGAGUGAAGAAGGCCUUCGGGUUGUAAAGCUCUUUCAGCCGGAACGAAACGGUUACGGUUAAUACCCGUGACUACUGACGGUACCGGAAGAAGAAGCACCGGCUAACUACGUGCCAGCAGCCGCGGUAAUACGUAGGGUGCAAGCGUUAAUCGGAAUUACUGGGCGUAAAGCGUGCGCAGGUGGUUUUGUAAGUCAGAUGUGAAAUCCCCGGGCUUAACCUGGGAACU